rnacentral:tRNA from 1 species
UUUUUUUUAAUUUAAAUUAAAAAUAUAUAUUUUGCAAAUAUAAGAUUAUUUGAUUUUUUUUUAAUAAAAUAAU